AUGUUCCUAUAUUCAUUCGAGUAUCAACCGACAUCAACCAAUUGUCAAACUCCAAGUGUUAGGAGAGUGAACGCCAAAAAUAUUGCUUGGUGCAUAGCCCAGAAAAACGCAGUCCAGUCUUUGGUCCAAACUUGUGCCUUUUGGUUAUCGGCACAUAUGGUAGCAAACUAUCUGGCAUGGAGUCUAAAGAUUCCAGACAAGUUGGUUGACGCGUAUAUUCAUCUGGCACUUAAUCAGUCUGCACGCCAAGGAUGGUCCAUUUCGGUUGAACUGCAUAAAAAAUUUGGGUGGUUCAUUUUCUCAACCGCCUCCUUUCUUGUCUUCAAUGUAGAAUUUUGGCGAGAUACAAGACCAAGAUGA
rnacentral:rRNA from 1 species